rnacentral:rRNA from 1 species
CCUUGGCCUUGACAUCCACGGAAUUUGGCAGAGAUGCCUUAGUGCCUUCGGGAACCGUGAGACAGGUGCUGCAUGGCUGUCGUCAGCUCGUGUUGUGAAAUGUUGGGUUAAGUCCGCAACGAGCGCAACCCUUAUCCUUUGUUGCCAGCGAUUCGGUCGGGAACUCAAAGGAGACUGCCGGUGAUAAACCGGAGGAAGGUGGGGAUGACGUCAAGUCAUCAUGGCCCUUACGGCCAGGGCUACACACGUGCUACAAUGGCGCAUACAAAGAGAAGCGACCUCGCGAGAGCAAGCGGACCUCAUAAAGUGCGUCGUAGUCCGGAUUGGAGUCUGCAACUCGACUCCAUGAAGUCGGAAUCGCUAGUAAUCGUAGAUCAGAAUGCUACGGUGAAUACGUUCCCGGGCCUUGUACACACCGCCCGUCACACCAUGGGAGUGGGUUGCAAAAGAAGUAGGUAGCUUAACCUUCGGGAGGGCGCUUACCACUUUGUGAUUCAUGACCGGGGUGAAGUCGUAACAAGGUAGGCGUACUACA